rnacentral:rRNA from 1 species
AGAGUUUGAUCCUGGCUCAGGACGAACGCGGGCGGCGUGCCUAAUGCAUGCAAGUCGAGCGGGCUACAGUCUUCGGAUUGUAGCUAGCGGCGAACGGGUGAGUAACACGUAGGUAAUCUACCCUUCAGAGGAGGACAACCUCAGGAAACUGAGGCUAAACCUUCAUACGUUCACUGGUAGGGAUACUGGUGAAGAAAGAGUUACCGUUGAGGUGGCUGCUGAAGGAUGAGCCUGCGGCCCAUCAGGUAGUUGGUGAGGUAACGGCUCACCAAGCCGAAGACGGGUAACCGGUCUGAGAGGAUGUCCGGUCACACUGGGAGUGAGUCACGGCCCAGACUCCUACGGGAGGCAGCAGCAGGGAAUCUUGGGCAAUGGGCGAAAGCCUGACCCAGCGACGCCGCGUGGAGGAAGAAGUCCUUCGGGGCGUAAACUCCUGGACUGGGGGACGAGGAAGGACGGUACCCCCGUAGAAAGGGAUGGCCAACUACGUUCCAGCAGCCGCGGUAAAACGUAGGUCCCGAGCGUUGUUCGGAUUCAUAGGGUGUAAAGGGCGCGUAGGAGGUCGUAUGUGUCUCAUGAGAAAAAUCAGGGCUCAACUCUGAGAUUGCGUGGGAAACUACGCAGCUAGAGGACGGUAGAGGGGAGUGGAAUUCCCGGUGUAGCGGUAAAAAGUGUAGAUAUCGGGAGGAACACCCGUGGCGAAGGCGGCUCUCUGGGCCGAUCCUGACGCUGAGGCGCGAAAGCUAGGGGAGCGAACCGGAUCAGAUACCCGGGUAGUCCUAGCCGUAAACGAUGGGUGCUAGGUGUUGGGGGGUAAAGACCCUUCAGUGCCGACGCCAACGCGAUAAGCAUCCCACCUGGGGAGUACGGCCGCAAGGUUGAAACUCAAAUGAAUAGACGG